UUAGCAUGUAGCAGUUUUACUAAUCGUUCCUUAUGUGUAACAUUCCAUGAUCCGUUUGUUCACUCCUAGUUUGCAUUGUUUUCCUUCGGUGUGCUUUAGUAGUGAAUUGAACGACUGCUGAACUUUCAGGAGUGGGCACAUUUUGUUUUAUGCUUCAUUUUGUUUUAUGCUUCUACUGCAGUGUUCUCAUUAUGACUCAAAGUCAGAUAUGUACAGUGUUUGGGUGAUCGCUGUUGAGUUGUUCCAGCCCUUUGGGACAGAGAUGGAGUGUGUGCAAACACUUGGAGGUUUGAGAGGGGGGAAUUUUCCGGAAGAACUCAAUGGUCCUGUCUGAGCAAAUUAAAUUGCCGACCAACCUGCACCCCACACUGUGACCAAGUGAAUCCCUACUACUGCAAAGUGAUGCCUUUAACAACAAA